UACGGAGGGUGCGAGCGUUGUCCGGAAUCACUGGGCGUAAAGGGCGCGUAGGUGGCGCGGGCAGUCAACGGUGAAAGUUCGGGGCUCAACCCUGAAUCGGCCGUCGAUACUCCCGGGCUUGAGCACUGUAGAGGCAGAUGGAAUUCCGGGUGUAGCGGUGGAAUGCGUAGAGAUCCGGAAGAACACCGGUGGCGAAGGCGGGUCUCUGGGCAGUAACUGACGCUGAGGAGCGAAAGCGUGGGGAGCGAACAGG
rnacentral:rRNA from 1 species